rnacentral:rRNA from 1 species
CCCUUAGAUGUUCUGGGCCGCACGCGCGCUACACUGAUGCACUCAACGAGUCUCCACCUUGACCGAGAGGUCCGGGAAACCUUCGAACUUGCAUCGUGAUGGGGAUAGAUUAUUGCAAUUAUUAAUCUUCAACGAGGAAUGCCUAGUAAGCGCAAGUCAUCAGCUUGCGUUGAUUACGUCCCUGCCCUUUGUACACACCGCCCGUCGCUCCUACCGAUUGAAUGGUCCGGUGAAGCGUUCGGACCGUGGCCUUUGGACGGUUCGCCGUCUGUUGGCUGCGGGAAGUUCGUUAAACCUUAUCAUUUAGAGGAAGGAGAAGUCGUAACA